rnacentral:rRNA from 1 species
AUUGAACGCUGGCGGCAGACCUAACACAUGCACGUCGAACGAGUGGCGGACGGGUGAGUCAUGUCUGGGAAACUGCCUGAUGGAGGGGGCUAACUACUGGAAACGGUAUCUAAUACCGCCUACCAUCGGAUGUGCCCAGAUGGGAUUAGCUAGUAGGUGGGGUAAAGGCUAACCUAGGCGACGAUCCCUAGCUGGUCUGAGCGGAUGAGCAGCCACACUGGAACUGCGACACGGUCCAGACUCCUACGGGAGGCAGAAGUGGUGAAUAUUGCACAAUGGGCGUAAUCCUGAUGCAGCCAUGCCGCGUGUAUGAAGAAGGCCUUCGGUUCGUAAAGUACUUUCAGCGGGGAGGCGUUACCCGCAGAAGAAGCACCGGCUAACGCCGUGCCAGCAGCCGCGGUAAUUC